GUCUCCGACACGCUCGUCCUCACCGUGUCUGGAGGCGCAAAAAGACAAAUUCAACUGCCGGCGCUUUGAGUUUGGAAUCCACUGCGUCGGCUAGUUAGGCCAUCGUGGGGUAAAUCUCCCCCCGGUGACCAAAUCCCUGCUUACCAGCGGCUAGCGGUUGCGAGUCGGCGCCUGUGUUGGAGUCCAGGAGAGAGUGGAUCCAGUUGGACGCGCCCUGCCGGAAGUCUCGGAGCAGCAGCGCCGUGUCCCUCCUCACCGUGGUGAGUGUGCUCAGCUUCUCCACCUGCUUUUCUGUCUGCGGCUCAUUACCUGGAGUGGGGCAGAAGCUUCAAUUACGGAUCGAGGGAAGGUCAUAAAAGAAAAAAGAAACAAAUGUGAUGAUUCGAGACAAUUUCAGCCAAGAGGGAAUAAAAACAAAUAAUAGUUAUUGAUGGCAACCAAACGCUAGACAAUAUAUAUAGGAUUAAUUACCACAGCCCCCUCCACCUGUCAGACAAAAUGUUAUUGCGAGUGCCGAUUAUUUACACGCCACAAUGAGAAGAGUCGCAAAGUAAUAUAUAUGUAUGCAAAUAGCGAGAAGUGGCGGGCUUUACAGGAAUGACUCCUGCAAGGGAAGAAAUUACUUAAGAAAAUAAUCACUUUCUAAAGAGUUUCAUUCACAUCUGUGAGGGCAAGUGAAUUUCCUUUGUGAGCAUUAAAUCUAAAAAUAAUCUGUGCUUUAAAAUGAAUGCUGACGUUUAUGUUGAACAUUCUACGUGGAAGCUGGGACUCGGUGUACCUGACUGCGCGUUGAGUCAUGUGAAAAGCAAAGCGUGCGGGAGGACGGCGGCCACGCACCUGUGUAGGCGCUGACACACCUGGAGAGCACGCUGAGUGGCACCAUGGGGUCCAUGAGGCUGAGGAGCCGGGACGGCGAGGCGUAGGCAGUGAGUAGCAAGGCUGGGUAGGUGGCCACCAGGCCGUCUGGCAUGCGCACACCGUAGGUGGCUGCCCGCAUCGACGUGGUCACGCACAGGUUGCCCCCAGCGCUGUCGCCCGCGAGGCAGACUUUCUCGCCGGUCCAGCCUGGCAGGGAAAGGGGCAGAUCAUGAACACUUUAUUUUAAAUCCGUUAUGAGAUCCUUUAGUCUGAGGGAGGUUGGGAAAAACAGGAAUGCGGGGAGAGUACUGCACAUACCGAGCAGCUGGUGGUUCCGCAAAGCCCAGCAGUACGCAAAGAAGCACUCCUCCAAGGCCCGCGGAAAAGGGGCUUCAGGGGCCAGGGAGUAGUCCACUGACAGAAUGGGGACGCCCAAGUCCUGAGACCAGCUCUUCAGGUAGGGCUGCACAAAAAGAGCCAAAGGGAACGUUAGAUGUGCGGAUGAAGCCACGAGAAACAACAGCUGGCACAAAAAAGCAUAGAGGAAGAUAAGAGGGCUAAGACAAGAGGAGGGGGGCAUAAAACUUUAUCGGUGUCUGCGAUGUGGAGUGUCUGCUUUCCGGCUUUAUUGUCUAGACAGAGGAGCUACACAGUGCGGUCACCAACAAAAGACGUCCUCAUUUGAUGAGAACGCAAAAGGGAACGGCGUGAAGAGCUGCCGCAAGAUUAACGACGAGCUCAAAAGUUCUCUCUCCAAGUUUUGCAUGUCAUGGAAGCGGACUGUGAUGACUCAGCACUUCCAGAAACUCAGCGGUGACACCUUGAGAGUUCUGCUGUCAAAAUAAUUAAUCGUAGUGCGCUCAAGUGAGCCCGUGCAGCCAGCAAAGGAAAGCGUGAACGGGACAAUCGUCACAAAUUUGCCGUUACGAUCAUCCUCUCUUUUGAUGCGUACCUAUGCAAUUUACGUUUACCUUGUAUGUGGAGUUUUUUUUCCUUUUGUCUAAUAAGAAAUAUUUCAAUACUUAUCUGAAAUGGUACUUCUCAAUGGAAAUUCCAUAAAACCAUUCUAGCUCCCCCACCUAAAGAAUUAAAAAUGUCUCUCGUGUUAUAUUUUACACAAGCGUACCGUGAUGAGGAAGUAAAACCGUUUUUCUUGUAUUUUUUUGUUUCAAAUUCAAUGGACGUUGUGCUGCUCCUUCCGUUGUAUGCGACUUUACCACCUGGUAAUAACAAUCCUCUUUUCUUCCCAAACAACGACUUGGUCUGUUUCGUGAACUUACUUUUCUUGGACAGAGUUAACCAUAUUUGCGCGAUCCUAUCUUGUAAAAAACACAGCUCUUGCACUGGAUCUCUUGAGAGGCUGCUCGGGUACAAUAGUGUCUAGUGCGUGUGUCCGAACUGUCACUGCUGAAGCGAGUGUCAGAGAUUAUGUGCAGCUCUGCCAGUCAGGCCAGCUCAUCAUUCACGAACUGCAAGGGAACAAAACAAAUGGUCGACUCGACAGGCGAUAAGGAAUUGUGUGUGCGUGUGUAUGUGUGUGUGCGCGUGCGAGGUUAGUUAAUUUUACAUGACUCCAGAAAGCCUUGUGGUGCACACACGUUCUGGCAGCCAAGAACAAAAUUCUCAAACACACAUCUGCUCUUUAGCGCUGCACAAAGGGCGCAGCGAGUGAGCGCAAUUCAUGCAUUUUCAAUGGCAGUCAGCAUGAGGGAGCAAACAUGAGCAGAGCAUCUGGCCUAUCUGGACUAGUGCAGGUGCUGCGACUGCCGUCCGAGCAACAUUACGGGGAGGACAUGUGAUAUGACCGGCAACUGCUCUGAAACAGACCCUCACCCCGGUUCGAAGAGGGUGUGCACAUUUUUAUGAUGCCACAACCCAUCACUUUGUCCCUGCGCCUGUCGACCUCGUCAAUUUGGUUCCUUUCACACCUCAGAGGAGGAACAAGCAGCGACAUUGCUCAUGUUUGCCUUUGCUGGCUCGGUAAGAAAAAUUAUAUUUGUAUUUGGUAAUUGUACCUCAUGGGAUUUGGAGGUCUGAGCCACAAAGCCUCCGCCAUGGAAGUGGAUGAGGAGGCAGGAGGACGGCGGCAGCCGCUUGGCCUUCAUCCCCAGUGAGAGUGAGAUGGCGCCCGCAUCAGAGCGGGUGAGCGAGAGCAGGCUCUCGCUGUCCUGGAGCGAGAGAACACAAGUGUAAAACAAUGUUUCGGGACUUCAGUUGAGGGCAGCGCAAUAGAGUGUGCUGGUAUUUAGUGGUCGGUGGUGGAAUUACACCAAAAAUAUCCAUCCAUCCAUCCAUUUUCUGUCCCGCUUUAUCUCCACGGGAUUCGCGGGCGUGCUGGAGCCUAUCCCAGCAGUCAUCGGGCAGUAGGCGGUGGACACCCUGAAUUGGUUGUCAGCCAAUCACAGGGCACACAGAGACGAACAACAACUGCACUCGCACCUAAGGGCAAUUUGGAGUGCUCAAUCAGCCUACCAAGCAUGUUUUUGGAAUGUGGGAGGAAACCGGAGUGCCCGGAGAAAACCCACGCGGGCAUGGGGAGAACAUGCAAACUCCACACAGGGAGGGUCGGAGGUGGAAUCGAACCAGCACUCUCCUAACUGUGAGGUGGUCGUGCUAACCAGUGCGCCACUGAGCCGCCACACAAAAAAUACCAAUGCAAUUUUUUAUGCAUGCGGUGCAAAAGCAGCCUUGUUAAAGUCAAAUGACAGUGUGAAGUCCGCCCAUCGCCACGACAGGUACCUGUCCUUCCCGCAGCUCGUAGGAGAUGAGCCUCAUCUGGACAGGGUUGGUGCCAAUGUGUGCCGAGGGCUGCGGUAUGGUCACUGAGGCUCGCGGAUUGGCUGCCAGCGGAAGGUCGAAGGGCAUGGAAGGCACGGAAAGCGCUCGGUUCACCUUGACCGUCACGGACGUCAUACUGACCAGACUCUGCAAGGCGGCGGGAGGAGGAGUGCAUAUUGAGAAAAGGCGAUUGUGCGUUACACAGUGAGUUCACUGGAGGGAAAGAGAAACCUCAUGAAUAAAUCAUAAAUGGCGCAGAAUAAAUUGAAUUCGCCUCUAUUAUCAUCGUGGGCACCAAGGCAUAAUGAUAGCGGGACGUCUCCCAACAGGCACACAAGUAUUGAAGACAAACAUGUCGUCACUUAGCCAGCUACAGGUAUAAAUGAAGUGAACUCCUCUUUGAUAGUCUCAACAUGCAGCCAGUCUUGAAUUUGCCAAGUAUUGAAGUAGGGCCGGAUUUGUGAAUUUUACCAUAUUUUGAAAUUUGGGCGUGGGGGGCUUCCGCCUCCACUUACCGAUAGCAGUUCAGUCUCUGUGACGUUCCAGUAGGUCUUCCAGAAAUGGAUGUCGAGAUUCUGGGUGAUGCGCUCAAACUCGGCCCCCCUCAACUCGGGGUCGAUGACGUACUUGCCCGACGUGAAAAUGGAGCUGGCCACCACACCUGGGGCAAAAGACCAGGACGGCCCAUGUAAAACGACACCGGUGCAAUUUGCGCGGCGGCCGGGCAGUGAAAGUAAUCAAAGGGGGGAAAGAAAGGAUGGGAGCAACAAGUACACUUGUGUUGCAGGGAGUGAAAAUUAUUAAAAGUCAAAGAAUAGUUGCAGAAGCCUCUCAGAUCCGUCCAUGUUUUACGUCGACUCGACUCCUGCAACUAUACUUGAUGGACGAGCACUACUGGCGCGUUCAAGGUUUUUUUUUUUCUGAGAGGACUCCGUUCACAUUUACUCACUAUAUGGUGCAAUACCUGUUAGGGUUUACAGAAUAUCUUCAUGGUAUGAUUAUGUUGGAAUGUAACCUGUAAUAAUUUACCUAGCUUGUCCUGUCUUAACAAAAGUAGUAGAACAAAGUGCUAAGAUCUUUUCAACUGAUUUAACUAGCUGCAAAGGAAGCAAUCAAAGUUGCUUUGUUUACACGUCGUCGUAAAAGACCCCCUGCUAUGCUUUAAUCGGCAGGCCAGGGGCUUCACCCCAUCCUGUCUUCCCACACCCCCACUUUCAACCCCACUCUGUUUCUCUCAAUAAAUAUGCACCUGAUGAGGCCUGAGUCAGAUCUCAUUCGACCAUCGCUGUAAGCACAGCGACGAAUGAACUCUCCACCUGCAGGUGUCUGAAACUUGUCUCCAGUGUGGUUCUUGCAAAAUAAGUUAGAGUGAGCACCACCCUAACAAUACCCCCUGCCUCCACUGGGGCACAACAGAGAGCACAAAAAAAGAGCGAGUUGAAUUGCAGCCAGACAUAUAAACUCCGUGAAAAAAGGCGUACAAAAUUAAUAGUUUAACUGUCGUUUGGUUAUACAGUGGCUUCUCGUUAUAUUUCUCGUUCCGUGUGUCCAAACACACUAUCAAAGAAAUGAAAUGAAAAAGCACAUUUGCUGUGCGCUGUCCUAUCUUAGGCAGCUGCUCCAUGAGGCACCAACACGAACCAGAGCCCCCAACCAUGCCACUUUUGCCAAUGGCAUUUGAAGGCAUUUCAGCAAAUGCAGCAUUUCAAGGGGGAGUGAAUUCUCAGCUAGCCAGUGCAAAGUGCUCUCAGCGUUCACGUUGUACAUAUCAAUAUCUACCCAAGGCUCUUCUGGUGUUUACAAGACUUUUACAAGGUUCUAAAAUGCGGAGAGAACUGCAGGCGACCGUCGGAGAUUCCGGAAGGAUGAAAGAGCAUGCAACACAUACGUGGCACGAAAAGAUGCGAGAGAGGGGGGAGGUGAGGGAGAAGGGUAGAGGGUGGAAGCGGCGAGGCGAGAACAACCCUUGAAUGACAAUGAGAACGGUGCUGACCUAUUCCAGACUGAUUGCGCUUGUAGUUCUCUCCAAAGGCCACGAGGCCGAUGGCGAUGGUCUGUAGGGACGGACGGAUAGCCGGGGUGAACUGGUGGGGCAAAAGCAGAAAAUCGGGACCUUGAAUGCCAUAGUCACGUCGCGUUCCUCAAGCAAAAAAAAAACAAAACAACAGAUGACAUCUUACGCAACACUUGGUUAAACUAUUUGAAUUUUCCCAAACAUGUGCCAGUAGGGGUGUAAUUCCACUGCCGACCACUAGCAGCACACUAUCUAACAAAGAUGGGAGUCAAUUUGAAAGCAAAACAAAUGUUGAAUUUUCUUUGAAUGACUUCCUCUGUAAUCCUUCUUUUUAUGCCUACGGUAAGCAAUGGCUAACGGUUCAUCUCAUAAUGUAAAUGUUUUUUA